CAUGCACGCCAACUGUCAUUGGCUUGUUUAGUUAACACUCGAAGGUGAUUGGGCUCUCGGGCGAGAUCCCAAUUCGUAACGUCGAACGUGACUGACUGAAAGGGAAUUAGAGUUGUUAUGUCCAGCAUAUGAAAUACUAGGUUACUGCCUGAGAAGGUACAGAGUUAGUACAAAACCAGACUUAGUCCAAACCACAAUCUUUUUAGCAAUUAGCUAAAUGGCCAUUGCAAGUAAUGCUAUGGAAACCUGACGUCACACUGCAAUGCAUUGUGGGAUUUUAGGAUACGGGGACAUUGAUGAAAAAUAGAUUUUCUAUUAAUGAGAAUACACCUAUUAUUCCACAAUGAACAAUUAUGGGGAAAUUUGUGUUUGUAUAACAAUUUCCAAUAUAAUACUUAAACUGAAACCAACAUCCUGACCAUCAAGAGCCAAAAUGUAUAAAAUUCUAGAAAAAAAAUAGCGAGUGAGAAAAUCACUUUUUGUGGUGAACUAAACUAAUUUCAUCCCAGAGGACAAAAUGAUUGGUCUGAACAAGAACAAAACAAAAAACAACAACACUGAAACCACAAGAUGUGAUUGACAUGUUUCAUUGAAUUAAGUCUGAUUAUUGAACAGGUCGAGUUCUUGGGGAAGAAGCUGAUAACCCAAAUAAUGGUAAGAUAUUGUAUUACUGUGCACUGAAUCUCUGUGUGUAUGAGUACAAAUCAUUUUAACAUCUUUGUCUUCAGUAGCUGAAGAAAUUGCUUAUCAGCAGAGAGAUUUACCAGAUGGUAAGUUACUGUAAAACAAUGUGCAUUUUCAUUGUCCAUUACAUGUAAUCAUAAUUAACAAAAAAUGAUUAUUGUUCAAACAGGUCAGGACGAACGUGGUCCACUUAUUGAUGGUCGAGUUCUUGGGGAAGAAGCUGAUAACCCAAACAAUGGUCAGGAAGAAUGUGAUCCACAGCAGGAUAUGUUUCAUUCCGAACCAGAUCAACUGAAGAAAAUAACAGUGAAGCAAGGAGAAACAGUCACUCUAAAGACUGGUGUUACUGACAUGCAGAGAGAUGAUCUGCUACGGUGGAAGUACGCUGAUUCCAGAGUAUCUGAAUCCACAACCUUAUUUAGUGUCAUCGCCGUAUGCAAUAAAAGGACCGCUAGGAUCGCAGUAAAGGAAGGUCCUGGAGGGAAAUUCAAAGACAGACUACAGCUGGACCAUCAGACUGGAAAUCUCACGAUCAAGAACAUGAGAGUCAAAGACACUGGGCAUUUUAAACUAGAGAUCAAGAACAACAAACAUCAGCUGACAAAAACCAUCAAAGUCAAUGUCUGUGCUUCCACAAAAAAGCAAGGGGACGAUCCAAAUGAGACAAAUUUGUCCUUGAUACCAGAAGAGGACCCCAGCAACACUAGUACAUAUACUGUGGAGCCGAUGGACACGGCCGAUGCAUCUUUUACUCCAUGCAUCUUUUAUGUUGGCCGUUUGACGCCUCUUUUAUAUUUUGGAAUAUUAUUUCAUAUUUUGGGAUAUUGUAAAACACAAGCUUUAAAGAUCCUAUGAGAAAUGUUAAAACUAACAGCUGCUAAAUGUAUGGUUAUGUGACCCUCUCCAAAGGAUUCCUUUAACACAGUUUGUGUGUUUGACGUUUUUAUGUAAAUAUGAUUUUAGAAAAUAUUAGAAUAUUUUUGUUUUGUACUAUUAUAUUAUUGUGAAUCCUUUUGGUGAUACAAGACUCCACCUUAAAUAUUACUCCAAUAGGUUAUUAAGGAACCAAGCACAAAUAAUUGAUCAAUCCCAUAGUAGUAUGUAUUGGAAAACACAGCUAAUGAUACAUUUUCAAUCAAAAUUGUUAGAAGCAAAGCUACUAUUACUUGGUUACACUCUAAUACAUUAUCAAUGCUACUCAGGUACCCUUAUAGUAUGGUGCUAAAGAAUUACACAAUACAGUAAAACUACACUCUAAAAAAUGCUGGGUUGUUUCAACCCAAUGUUGGGUUAAAAAGUUAAUUUAAAAAUGUAACCAAAAUUUAACCCAACAGUUGGGUUAGUCCAUAUUUGACCCAACAUUGGGUUGAAACAACCCAGCAUUUUUUAGAGUGUAUAACUAUGCUAAUCUCUGGACCAAAAUGGCAGUGCCAAAACAUUUAUGAGGCUCAUAUUGUACAGAAACUGUACCGGUUUAUUUGCAUCGUAUAAAAUGAAUUGGGAGUGACACUGUCAUUAAUGUUGAUGUUAACUUGUAAUGUGAGCAUGUUGUGACAUACUGAGGUUUUAAUAUUCAGUCUAAUGUUUAUUUACAUACUGUGAUAUUUGAGAUGUUCUUUGUAAACUCACUGUGAAAACACUCAGUAUUAUGAAUGCAAUAUAUUUUAGCGACUAAUAAAACGUAUGAAAACCUCGCAAUGAGUUAUUU
ensembl:lncRNA